rnacentral:rRNA from 1 species
GGAAUUAUUGGGCGUAAAGAGCUCGUAGGCGGUCUGUCGCGUCGGCGGGGAAAACCCGGAGCUCAACUCCGGGCCUGCAGUCGAUACGGGCAGACUAGAGUGCGGUAGGGGAGACUGGAAUUCCUGGUGUAGCGGUGAAAUGCGCAGAUAUCAGGAGGAACACCGGUGGCGAAGGCGGGUCUCUGGGCCGUAACUGACGCUGAGGAGCGAAAGCGUGGGGAGCGAACAGG